rnacentral:rRNA from 1 species
AUGUGAAUGCCUACAAUGUUAAUGCACUAGAUCCCAUUAGAAAUUCACAGUUAAGAGUGAUUAGGCUAGAGUAGUAUUAGGAUGGGUGACCUCUUAGGAAGUCCUAGUAUUUUACGUG